rnacentral:misc_RNA from 2 species
CAGAAUUGUCAAACGGGUUGUUGCUGGCCCUCAAUGGGGGCAUGUGCACGCUCUGUUUACACAUCCACUCACACCUGUGCACUCUCAGUAGUUCUGUGGUCUGGGGGACCCUGUCUCCCUUCCAUGGUCCUACGUCUUUACACACACACACUGUAACAAGUCCUAUGGAAUGUACGUCGCGUCUAACGCAAUACAAUA